AAGAAGACAAUAACUAGAAGAUCUUCCUAAAGUUUACAUCCCUAUUGCACUGCUGGGUAAGAAAACCACGCCGCCUUUUUGCCCAUACUAUCUUGCAAUCCACUGGAAGCUUCAAUAGGCUGAGUCUACUUUAAGGAAUAAUUUGGUAACUAAUGCUGCACAGAGUAAAGCCCUUAUUGUAGGAUCUUUGGUUACUAAAGCACAUUGCACAUAGCUGGAUUUGCUGAAAAAAGUAUGGUGAAUCUCAAGAAUAGCCUGUUAAAAUCCUUCAAAAUAUCAAGACAGCUUCUGAUUUUCUAGCAGACUACUUCUGACCACUGUAGAAAGACCUGUGGAUUUAGCUGAAAGUUUAAGAGAUUCUGAAUGGCUACCUGGCUUAGAGGCUGGUUAGCGUAGUCCGCUUAAACACUCUC